ensembl:snRNA U1 U1 spliceosomal RNA
AUACUCACUUGGCAGGGGAGACACCUUGAUCAUGAAGGAGGUUUUCCCAGGGUGAGGCUCAUCCACUGCACUGCGGGUGUGCUGACCCCUGUGAUUUUCCCAAAUGUGUGUGUGUGGGGGGGACUGCUAUGGGAAAAAAGGAAAUGUUCUGUCCCACU